ACGAACGCUGGCGGCGUGCUUAACACCUGCCAGUCGAACGGAAAGGCCCUGCUUUUGUGGGGUGCUCGAGUGGCGAACGGGUGAGUAACACGUGAGUAACCUGCCCUUGACUUUGGGAUAACUUCAGGAAACUGGGGCUAAUACCGGAUAGGAGCUCCUGCUGCAUGGUGGGGGUUGGAAAGUUUCGGCGGUUGGGGAUGGACUCGCGGCUUAUCAGCUUGUUGGUGGGGUAGUGGCUUACCAAGGCUUUGACGGGUAGCCGGCCUGAGAGGGUGACCGGCCACAUUGGGACUGAGAUACGGCCCAGACUCCUACGGGAGGCAGCAGUGGGGAAUAUUGCACAAUGGGCGGAAGCCUGAUGCAGCAACGCCGCGUGCGGGAUGACGACCUUCGGGUUGUAAACCGCUUUCGCCUGUGACGAAGCGUGAGUGACGGUAAUGGGUAAAGAAGCACCGGCUAACUACGUG
rnacentral:rRNA from 1 species